rnacentral:rRNA from 1 species
AUUGAACGCUGGCGGCAUGCCUUACACAUGCAAGUCGAACGGUAACAGGUCUUCGGAUGCUGACGAGUGGCGAACGGGUGAGUAAUACAUCGGAACGUGCCCGAUCGUGGGGGAUAACGAGGCGAAAGCUUUGCUAAUACUGCAUACGAUCUACGGAUGAAAGCGGGGGAUCUUCGGACCUCGCGCGGACGGAGCGGCCGAUGGCAGAUUAGGUAGUUGGUGGGGUAAAAGCUUACCAAGCCGACGAUCUGUAGCUGGUCUGAGAGGAUGAUCAGCCACACUGGGACUGAGACACGGCCCAGACUCCUACGGGAGGCAGCAGUGGGGAAUUUUGGACAAUGAGCGAAAGCCUGAUCCAGCCAUGCCGCGUGCAGGAUGAAGGCCUUCGGGUUGUAAACUGCUUUUGUACGGAACGAGAAGCCUCUUUCUAAUAAAGAGGGGUCAUGACGGUACCGUAAGAAUAAGCACCGGCUAACUACGUG